rnacentral:rRNA from 1 species
CAGCAGCCGCGGUAAUACGGAGGAUGCAAGCGUUAUCCGGAUUUAUUGGGUUUAAAGGGUGCGUAGGCGGAGCGAUAAGUCAGUGGUGAAAUCCCCCGGCUCAACCGGGGAACUGCCAUUGAUACUGUCGUUCUUGAGUACAGUUGAGGUGGGUGGAAUGUAUCAUGUAGCGGUGAAAUGCAUAGAUAUGAUACAGAACACCGAUAGCGAAGGCAACGCACCAAGCUGUAACUGACGCUGAGGCACGAAAGCGUGGGGAGCAAACAGGAUUAGAUACCCUGGUAGUCCACGCUGUAAACGAUGAUCACUCGCUGUUAGCGAUACACAGUUAGCGGCUAAGCGAAAGCAUUAAGUGAUCCACCUGGGGAGUACGGUCGCAAGAUUGAAACUCAAAGGAAUUGACGGGGGCCCGCACAAGCGGAGGAGCAUGUGGUUUAAUUCGAUGAUACGCGAGGAACCUUACCAAGGCUUAAAUGAAAGACGACAGUCCCGGAAACGGGAUUUUCCUUCGGGACGUCCUACAAGGUGCUGCAUGGUUGUCGUCAGCUCGUGCCGUGAGGUGUCGGGUUAAGUCCCAUAACGAGCGCAACCCUUAUUCUUAGUUGCCAUCAGGUAAUGCUGGGGACUCUAAGAAAACUGCCUACGCAAGUAGUGAGGAAGGUGGGGAUGACGUCAAAUCAGCACGGCCCUUAUGCCUUGGGCUACACACGUGCUACAAUGGGCGGUACAGAGGGCAGCUACCUGGUAACAGGAUGCUAAUCUCGAAAACCGUUCUCAGUUCGGAUCGAAGUCUGCAACUCGACUUCGUGAAGUUGGAUUCGCUAGUAAUCGCACAUCAGCCAUGGCGCGGUGAAUACGUUCCCGGGCCUUGUACACACCGCCCGUCAAGCCAUGGAAGCCGGGAGUGCCUGAAGUCCGUAACCGUAAGGAGCGGCCUAGGGUAAAACUGGUGACUGGGGCUAAGUCGUAACAAGGUAACCGUA